GCAUACAAGCUGUCGGAGCUAUUUGUUUACAAAUAGUGACGGCGUACCUUUUGUAUAAUGGGUCAGCGAGUUAAUUUCUGUGGCAAGCUUAACUUUUUUAAGGAAGGCGCAGGGAAACCGAGUCUUAAUAGGGCGACUUAGUCUCAGGUAUUAGACGCGAAACCGGACGAUCUAUCCAUGGCCAGGGUGAAGGUGAGGUAACACUUACUGGAGGCCCGAACCCACCUAUGUUGAAAAAUGGGGGGAUGAGCUGUGGAUAGGAGUGAAAGGCUAAUCAAGUUCGGAGAUAUCUCGUUCUCCCCGAAAUCUAUUUAGGUAGAGCCUCUCAUAUUACUGCUGGGGGUAGAGCACUGUUUCGGCUAGGGGGUCAUCCCGACUUACCAAACCGAUGCAAACUCCGAAUACCAGCAAGUACAGUGAGGGAGACAGACUGCGGGUGCUAACGUCCGUAGUCAAGAGGGAAACAACCCAGAUCGCCAGCUAAGGUCCCAAAGUAUGAUUAAGUGGGAAACGUUGUAGGAAGGCCCAAACAGCUAGGAGGUUGGCUUAGAAGCAGCCAUCCUUUAAAGAAAGCGUAACAGCUCACUAGUCGAGUCGGCCUGCGCGGAAGAUGUAACGGGGCUAAAUCAUACACCGAAGCUGCGAAUGAAUACUUGUAUUCAUGGUAGGGGAGCGUUCUGUAUGCCACUGAAGGUGAAUCGAGAGGUUUGCUGGAGGUAUCAGAAGUGAGAAUGCUGACAUAAGUAACGAUAAGAGGGGUGAAAAACCUCUCCGCCGAAAGACCAAGGUUUCCUGUCCAACGUUAAUCGGGACAGGGUGAGUCGACCCCUAAGGCGAGGGCGAAAGCCGUAGUCGAUGGGAAAUAGGUUAAUAUUCCUAUACUUCUUGUUACUGCGAUGGAGUGACGGAGAAGGCUAGGCCAGCACAGCGAUGGUUGUCUGUGUUUAAGGUUGUAGGCUGGAGAUUUAGGCAAAUCCGGAUCUCUAAGGCCGAGAGCUGAUGACGAUUAUCUCUUAGGAGAUAAGAAGUGGUUGAUGCCAUGCUUCCAGGAAAAACUUCUAAGCUAUAGGUAGCAAGGAAUCGUACCGCAAACCGACACAGGUGGUCAGGUAGAGAAUACUAAGGCGCUUGAGAGAACUCUGGUGAAGGAACUAGGCAAAAUGGUACCGUAACUUCGGGAGAAGGUACGCCCUCAUUACGUGACGAGACUUGCUCUCUGAGCGGAAGAGGGUCGAAGAUACCAGGUGGCUGCGACUGUUUACUAAAAACAUAGCACUCUGCUAACACGAAAGUGGACGUAUAGGGUGUGACGCCUGCCCGGUGCCGGAAGGUUAAUUGAUCGGGUUAGCCCCUUGUGGGCGAAGCUCGUGAUCGAAGCCCCGGUGAACGGCGGCCGUAACUAUAACGGUCCUAAGGUAGCGAAAUUCCUUGUCGGGUAAGUUCCG
rnacentral:rRNA from 1 species